ACACUUUGAACUCCACAUCCAACACACAGGGUUGGACAAUCAGCUUCGGAACUGAAAUCUUCAUUCAUAUGAUCACGGUACUGAACGAACUGAAUCAACUGGUGACUGCAAAGGAAACUGGCUGCAAUUCAGCAACAACUGAAGAAAGCCAGACCAUUUUGGUACGAUUCUUCUAGUGGCAAAUAUAUCAUUCCUGAGGUGGAACACAGAAAUAUGGAACACAGA